AUGUAAUGAAAUUAAAUGAACAGGUGAAAAGAAUAAAAGAAUUAAACAGGUGAACAGGUGAAAAGAAUGAAAUCUUAACUUAUAAAUAACGGUGUAUGCGCGUGCUUACCAUCCUCGAACCAUCUCCAUCAAUUGAGAAGCGUACUGAACUACUUCGCCACCUUUAAAAGUGUUUAAAUAGACAUUUAACUGCGAGAAAAUGCCUCGUUUGUGCUCCUUCUAUGGGUGCAACAAUAGGGCAAGACGUGGGAAAGCUUUCUUUUCUUUCCCGAAAGACGACAAGACACGUGAGAAGUGGCUUCACUGCACCCGGAGGGCAGACCUGCCAUCCAAUAUGACCGCUGAGGAGGCAAAAAGACGCGGAUACAUGAUCUGUGAAGACCAUUUCAGGCAGAAAGACAUACUUUUCAAAGGCAAAAGAACACGUCUGGCUCCAGGUGCCGUCCCGGUCAUUUUCAAGCAGCCGGUCAGUC